rnacentral:rRNA from 1 species
UAUGGUCAAUGAGCMACUCUGAACCASCCAUCCCCGUGCAGGAARCGGCCCUAUGGKUGUAAACUSYUUUGUACCAGAGAAAACCCGAGUACGUGUACUCGGUUGAUAGUACGGUAAGAAUAAGCAUCGGCUAACUUCGUGCCAGCAGCCGCGGUAAGACGAAGGAUGCAAGCGUUAUCCGGAUUCAUUGGGUUUAAAGGGUGCGUAGGCGGACCUGUAAGUCAGUGGUGAAAUCUCUCAGCUUAACUGAGAAACUGCCAUUGAUACUGCAGGUCUAGAGUAUAGAUGACGUUGGCGGAAUAUGACAUGUAGUGGUGAAAUACUUAGAUAUGUCAUAGAACACCGAUUGCGAAGGCAGCUAACGAAACUAUAACUGACGCUGAGGCACGAAAGUGCGGGGAUCAAACAGGAUUAGAUACUCUGGUAGUCCGCACCGUAAACGAUGAUUACUCGUUGUUGGCGAUAUGACAGUCAGCGACCAAGCGAAAGCGAUAAGUAAUCCACCUGGGGAGUACGCCGGCAACGGUGAAACUCAAAGGAAUUGACGGGGGCCCGCACAAGCGGAGGAGCAUGUGGUUUAAUUCGAUGAUACGCGAGGAACCUUACCUGGGCUUGAAAGUUAGCGACCGGUCCUGAAAGGGAUCUUCCAGCAAUGGCGCGAAACUAGGURGNRCAUGGCUGUCGUCAGCUCGUGCCGUGAGGUGUUGGGUUAAGUCCCGCAACGAGCGCAACCCCUAUUGUUAGUUACCAGCGAGUCAUGUCGGGAACUCUAACGAAACUGCCCGUGCAAACGGUGAGGAAGGUGGGGACGACGUCAAGUCAUCACGGCCCUUACGUCCAGGGCUACACACGUGCUACAAUGGCCGGUACAACGGGCAGCUACACCGCGAGGUGAUGCUAAUCUCUAAAAACCGGUCUCAGUUCGGAUUGAAGUCUGCAACUCGACUAMAUGAAGCUGGUUUCGCUAGUAAUAACGCAUCAGMAAUGKCACGGUGAAUACGUUCUMUCGGUUMUUGUGAUCACACCGCCCGUUGAACAAURWAAGUUGAGGGUAKURKUUAGUUUKCDDUUGUAGGUCGCCAUMUUKWUAGUCAUGGUAUGUGGUGUUAAGUCGUAACAAGGUAUCCA